GACGAACGCUGGCGGCGUGCUUAACACAUGCAAGUCGAACGGAAAGGCCCUGCUUUUGUGGGGUGCUCGAGUGGCGAACGGGUGAGUAACACGUGAGUAACCUGCCCUUUACUUUGGGAUAACUUCAGGAAACUGGGGCUAAUACCGGAUAGGAGCUCCUGCUGCAUGGUGGGGGUUGGAAAGUUUCGGCGGUUGGGGAUGGACUCGCGGCUUAUCAGCUUGUUGGUGGGGUAGUGGCUUACCAAGGCUUUGACGGGUAGCCGGCCUGAGAGGGUGACCGGCCACAUUGGGACUGAGAUACGGCCCAGACUCCUACGGGAGGCAGCAGUGGGUAAUAUUGCACAAUGGGCGGAAGCCUGAUGCAGCAACGCCGCGUGCGGGAUGACGGCCUUCGGGUUGUAAACCGCUUUCGCCUGUGACGAAGCGUGAGUGACGGUAAUGGGUAAAGAAGCACCGGCUAACUACGUG
rnacentral:rRNA from 1 species